CCUGAGAUGGGGACCCAGACCCCACUGUCCCCAGACCCCAAGGAAGCAUAGCCCCUGUUCACAUGAGCCUGGGCUAGGCAGGCCCUCACUGUGUUGCAGAUUGGCAGACGCUGCCUCCCUGUGUGGAGCUGGACCCACUGCAGGAGAGCCUGGAGGAGGAGACCCCUGGCGCCAGCCUGUGGCCCACCACCGUCACCUUCCUCACCCUCUUCCUGCUGAGCCUGUUCUACAGCACAGCACUGACCGUGACCAGCAUCCGGGGCCCGUCCAGCAGCAGGGAGGUCCCCCAGUUCUGAGCAGCAGCCAGCAGAGCACAGGGAGGAAGUGUGGAGGAACCUCUUGGAGAAGCCAGGCAUGCCAGAACUCAGCCCUUUCAGAAGCCACCGACCCACCCCUACUCACAUGCCUUCCAGGUGCAAUAAAGUGGCCCCAAGGAAAACGUUCACAAACUCUGAAUGAGGAGACAGGGGUCAGGGGAAGGGUGGUGGCUGUAGCCUGGAGGACUCCUGCUUCAAAGUCCCCCUGGGUGUCAUGGUGGGCAUGGUGGGCAUGGACAGAGGGUACCUCUGGUCCCAAAAUCAAGAAAGAACCUGAUCUUGCAUGAG